rnacentral:misc_RNA from 1 species
GAUGAAGAACGUAGUGAAAUGCGAUAAUUAAUGUGAAUUGCAGAAUUCAGUGAAUCAUCGAAUCUUUGAACGCACAUUGCGCCCGGCAGUACUCUGCCGGGCAUGCCUGUUCGAGCGUCAUUUCAACCCUCAAGCCCUGCUUGGUGUUGGGGCCCCACGGCUGCCGUGGGCCCUGAAAGGAAGUGGCGGGCUCGCUACAACUCCGAGCGUAGUAAUUCAUUAUCUCGCUUAGGGCGUUGGGCGGCGCUCCAGCCGUUAAAGAACCAUCUUUAACUCAAGGUUGACCUCGGAUCAGGUAGGAAUACCCGCUGAACUUAAGCAUAUCAAUAAGCGGAGGA